rnacentral:rRNA from 1 species
GCGGUAAUACGUAGGUGCCAAGCGUUAUCCGGAUUUAUUGGGUGUAAAGCGAGCGCAGGCGGUCUUUUAGGUCUAAUGUGAAAGCCUUCGGCUCAACCGAAGAAGUGCAUUGGAAACUGGGAGACUUGAGUGCAGAAGAGGACAGUGGAACUCCAUGUGUAGCGGUGAAAUGCGUAGAUAUAUGGAAGAACACCAGUGGCGAAGGCGGCUGUCUGGUCUGUAACUGACGCUGAGGCUCGAAAGCAUGGGUAGCGAACAGGAUUAGAUACCCUGGUAGUCCAUGCCGUAAACGAUGAUUACUAAGUGUUGGAGGGUUUCCGCCCUUCAGUGCUGCAGCUAACGCAUUAAGUAAUCCGCCUGGGGAGUACGACCGCAAGGUUGAAACUCAAAAGAAUUGACGGGGGCCCGCACAAGCGGUGGAGCAUGUGGUUUAAUUCGAAGCUACGCGAAGAACCUUACCAGGUCUUGACAUCUUCUGCCAACCUAAGAGAUUAGGCGUUCCCUUCGGGGACAGAAUGACAGGUGGUGCAUGGUUGUCGUCAGCUCGUGUCGUGAGAUGUUGGGUUAAGUCCCGCAACGAGCGCAACCCUUAUUACUAGUUGCCAGCAUUCAGUUGGGCACUCUAGUGAGACUGCCGGUGACAAACCGGAGGAAGGUGGGGACGACGUCAAAUCAUCAUGCCCCUUAUGACCUGGGCUACACACGUGCUACAAUGGAUGGUACAACGAGUCGCGAAACCGCGAGGUUUAGCUAAUCUCUUAAAACCAUUCUCAGUUCGGACUGUAGGCUGCAACUCGCCUACGCGAAGUCGGAAUCGCUAGUAAUCGCGGAUCAGCAUGCCGCGGUGAAUACGUUCCCGGGCCUUGUACACACCGUCCGUCACACCAUGAGAGUUUGUAACACCCAAAGCCGGUGCGGUAACCUUUUAGGAGCUAGCCGUCUAAGGUGGGACAGAUGAUUAGGGUGAAGUCGAAUCAAGGAAGCCGUAGGAG